rnacentral:misc_RNA from 1 species
CGCAUUUCGCCCCAGGCUCGUAUCAAGCUAUAAUUUAACUCCAGCGAUCUUUUGAAAAGGAUAAAGCUUCUUCCAAGUGGGAACUAAAAAACGUUUUGAAACUUGAACGGCGUGUAAUUAAACUAUCGUGUAGCAAAUACAAGGCUACCGCCGUGAGUAUCUUAUUGUGUUUAGCUUCCUCCUUUCUCUUUUGUCCGGAAUCUUGGUCAACGCUAGGGGGAUGAUGUCGCCUCUGAGGACCUUCCUCCCCCUCCACAGACCCGACGACACUCAAGGCGCCUACAGUGAACUCUCCUGGAAUUUCGCGCAACCCCUAUCGUCAGUUGGGGCGUGUUGAGGUGGAUGGCUGGACCUGGUCGACCGUUUGUCAACGCGUUGUUGCAAGGAGUUUGAGACAUGGUGAAUCAUUUACGUUUCAUUUGCGAUGUUAUUGUCGGAUGCAGAAAUAUGGGAUUGAAGGGCAAUGCAAAUCACAGAACGCCCGACCAAUUUUUCAAGAAAAUGGUUUCGUGCGUCGCGGGACUUAGCGCGUUUUAAAAUUCUGCACAAGAAGGGGACAAGAUUAACCGACUUGCGAAAGCGAAAUUUGUUCUUCGGAUUGAUCCGGAGUUCGGGUACCUUCUACUCUCAACCUGACUGAACCGGGGGGUGGAUUUUCCCAGCUAUUUACUAUCCCCGUGGAUGAUUCAACGGAUGGAAAAAGCUCCCCAACAUUCGGAGAGCUUGGCGAAAAUCUCGCGAAUCCCUCGCCCACCCCCCUUCCGUGCGUGUAUGUGAGUGAAAUCAUGCUGGUGAAACAUCAAUGUGAAAGCCGAAGGACACAGGGUGUGCUCUGAAACAAGCUGCCAGUGCUAUAAAUUCCUUAGAAGAAAGAAAGAUCUCAUUGUCAACCCAACAGUACAACAGAGAUAGAAGAUUGCUGACAGUCCUGCCAGCUAAUCUCGAUGAUCUACCAGAUCCACUUUCAACCCUCUUCCUGUGCUUGGAACAGACACUGACGAUAUGGACACAGUAUGGCCUCAGCACUCCGGCAUGCCUCUGGGAGUAGUUUGGUUGUAUCUGCCUUCCUUCUGCUACUCCUUCCACGUACCACUACAGCUCGUGAGGUAAUCGAUGUUGUACCACUACGCCAACUGGACUACAUUCCUUCAUUGCCGCCGCCACUGGGACCAUUCACUACUACCAAGACACCAAAGUGCGACCAAUCGUUCGCAAGCUUCCCAGAUGGUCCACAAAAUGGAACCUUCAGUGCUCCAACUUUGAUCAACCCUGAAGGUGAAUCUAGACAGUGUGUUUAUACAUUUCUGGCUGGCUCUGGGCAACGAGUUGAAAUUGUGUUUACUUCUUUCGGCCUUCGUGGUAUGCCUCCCGAUGGCGCAGCAGUUGGCGAGUUACCUGGUUGCGUUCAUGAGUACAUGGACAUUUACACAGAAGUACAGUCUGGAAAUCAUAGCAAGCUGAUAGAAUCACCAUUUGGCGGAAGAUACUGUGGACCUAUCCCUCCACGAAAGCGAGUUUCUUUGUAUCAGGGCAUUGCACUCAGUUUCUAUACUGACAAAAACGUUACUCUGCCUAAUCUAUUUACUGGCUACUACACUUUUAUCAAUGAGUCCGAUUAUGAAGUGGGAACUCCAGCGCCAAGUACACCAUGCACGUUUACAGUAGAUGCAGCUAUUAAAUUUACAGGAAAUAUAUUGUCACCAACUUAUCCGGGUGCUUAUCCCAAAGAUCUAGUCUGCAGCUAUCAAUUUAUCGGGAAGCCCAGUCAACGGGUUCGUUUAGAAUUCCGUGACUUUGAUUUAUUCUUUGGUGGGCCUCAUUGUCCAUUCGAUUACGUGAAAGUAUAUGAUGGCAUUGACAACACUUCGGCAGUUAUUGGUACAUACUGUGGGCAACAACGAAACUUGGUGCUUUACUCCUCCGAAUCUAGCUUGUUUGUGUUAUUUGUUACACUCCAGCGAACAGCCAAUACGCAAAAUCGCGGAUUCAAGGGUAUUUUUGAAUUUUCCGAAAGCUUUGUUAAAUUAGAUUUCAUUAAGGAUGAUGGCGAACACAUUCGUGGUUCGGAAUGCGAUCAGAAGAUAUUAAGUAAAAAGGAAUCCUUUGGCUUUGUGUUUAGCCCAAAUUAUCCUUUUCCAUAUAUACCCAAAAUAGUUUGCCGAUAUUUUAUCUAUGGAAUGCAAGAUUCACAACAUCUAGAACGUGUGCGACUAGAGUUUUACAAGUUUGAUAUACCCAAAGGGCAAGCAAAAGGAGACUCGGUCUGUACCGAUGGAUAUUUGAAAGUAUAUCUAAAAGGGCAGGAGGCAACAGAUUCAUAUGAUAAAUUUGAUCACGAAUUGUGCGGUGGAGAACACAAACCAAGCAAUGUCGUCAGUGACGGUCCACGGCUGGUCAUGGUUUUCAGCAGCGGAGAACUUCAGGGCAACGGAUUCAAAGCUCAGUAUCGAUUUGAAACAGAGUAUCGGAUACCUGGAACGGCAGCACCCGAUGGAACCUGUUUAUUUACGUAUCGCAGUUCAUCCCGUAAAAGAGGAGAAUUCAAUUCCCCACGUUACCCUAGCAAUUACCCCAGUGAUACCAACUGCACUUAUUUAUUUUUAGCCACACCGAACGAACAGGUUACGCUAGUAUUUGAUCAUUUCAAGGUCAGAGCUGACAAUGCCAAUUCAUCGGUAGGAUAUUAUGGAAUUCAUAUUUGCCAAGAAGAUUGGUUAGAGAUAUACAAUAUGUAUCGGGACAACACAGAGAAGUUGAUUGGUCGCUAUUGCGGUAUGACAGCUCCGGGACCUGUAGAGUCAAAUCUUGGGGCUCUUGGACUGAAAGUUAUCUUGCAUUCUGAUGCUGAGCUUGUGUACAGUGGAUUCAAGGCUCGCUACACGUUUGAUGUUGCUAAAUCUAUAUUUGGUGAUUGUGGUUCAAAUAUCAGCAGUUUGGAUUAUGGGAUGAUCACUAGUCCCAAUUUUCCAAACAAGUAUGAUGGGCCAGCACGCAACUUGGCCAGUAAAACUUGUAAUUGGUUUAUAAACGUUAGACCAAAUUAUCGAGUACUUCUGAAUUUCGAAUUAUUUUCUGUUGAAGGCGAGCAGUCAGCACGAGGUUGCCCCGCAGCAGUACUGCGCAUGUGGCACAUGGUGUCGGCUCCACCACUUGAACUCUGUGGCGUUAAAAGCGCUGAUGCUAAAUGGAGUUAUGUAUCUGAAGAUAACAACAUGCGCCUAAGUUUUAUAUCUGCGGACAAAGCUGUGGGUCAACAGGGCUUCCGAGCGGUAUGGACGGAAGUGGCUACGGACGGCGAUUGUUCUGGACAAUUUCUUUGUAUCGUGAGCAAAUAUUGUAUUACCAAGGGUCUUCACUGUAAUGGAAUUAACAAUUGUGGGCCUGAUGACUCGUCUGAUGAAGAAAACUGUGCAGCAUCAGCUCCCUUGGAGCCAGCAUUGGCUGGAGGCACUGCCAUGCUUCUUCUCUCUCUGUGCUUUGUGUUCGUGGCCACCUGAGCCUCACACGUGGCUUCCAACGGGCCGGCAUGUUAUGAUCUCCCUUAUCACGUACGGUAGUAAUACCUCCUGACAGUUAUGCUGUACCAGCCGGCUGUGCUGCUGGUGCCAUUCUGAUAGCAACUUUAUUUUGUCUACUAUGCCACCGAAAGUUGAAGAAACGUCCUCAAGAGGUUCAUAUCGACGACU